rnacentral:snRNA from 15 species
UCAUUUGUUACCGGGACUAGGGUGAUCACGAAUGCCUUGGCCCCAGGUGGAGAUUCACCUUUGCAAUUUGGCGUAUUGAAGCCUGCGAUGAUCCCUAAUCGGGCUGCUUCCCAGAACGCAUAACUUUUGCUAGUGGAGGGGGGGGGGAGGUCUUCG